CCUACGGGAGGCAGCAGUGAGGAAUAUUGGUCAAUGGACGGAAGUCUGAACCAGCCAUGCCGCGUGCAGGAAGACGGCUCUAUGAGUUGUAACCUGCUUUUGUACAAGGGUAAACCUGAAUACGUGUAUUCAGCUGAAAGUACUGUACGACUAAGGAUCGGCUAACUCCGUGCCAGCAGCCGCGGUAAUACGUAGUAUCCAAGCGUUAUCCGGAUUUAUUGGGUUUAAAGGGUGCGUAGGCGGAUUGAUAAGUUAGAGGUGAAAUGUCCGAGCUUAACUCGGGAACUGCCUCUAAUACUGUUGAUGUAGAGAGUAGAUGCGGUAGGCGGAAUGUAUGGUGUAGCGGUGAAAUGCUUAGAGAUCAUACAGAACACCGAUUGCGAAGGCAGCUUACCAAUCUAUAUCUGACGUUGAGGCACGAAAGCGUGGGGAGCAAACAGGAUUAGAUACCCCGGUAGUC
rnacentral:rRNA from 1 species